UCUUAUGGAUGAGCAAAGAAAGUGGUUUCUUGAGAUGGAAACUACUCUUGGUGAAGAUGCUGUGUA
rnacentral:pre_miRNA from 1 species